rnacentral:misc_RNA from 1 species
UAAAAUUAAAUACCAUUUAAAGGUUUAGAAAUAAAAAAUUGUAGAUUAGUUAUAAGGCUACAAAAUGGCCAAUUUUGAAUCAUUUUUACAUAUUUUAGGUCAAAAUACUAAAAUGUUUCAAUUUCUUGGAUUUGUUUUUUAAAUAUUUUUGGUGGGGUCUAUUUAGCAAAAAUCUCUAAUAGUUUUUUUAUGCAGCAUUUUUUUUGUUGAGAUUUUUCCCAAGUUGAUACGUGGUUAUGCAGUUGCUAACAUACCCAGAUUUCUAAACAUGUAGUUUAAAAAUUCUGCAUUGACCCCAAUUUCCACUUUUGGAAAAUGUUUAACCAAGUAGGAAAAGCAUUUAUGUUUCAUGAUGAAAACUUCCAAAGCAAUUCCGUGAUUACCAGUCUUCUACGCAGAACAAGCUGGGUGGGAAAAAAUUAUGGAAGUGCUAAAUAAUUUCUAAGCAUACCUCAAGA